ACCCACCAGACAAGAAUCCGAACCCGAGAAUGCCGUUCUGAAGCUAGCUUGGUACGGCUCUGAACUUCUUGGAAUCGCCGCUUCAUUUUUCCGUUCACCUUCAACUACUGAAGCUCCCCAAAGGGAACUCAAGCUCGGUGCUGAUGAAUUAGGAAGCAUUGAUCGUGCCAUGGUUGUGGAAACUAUCAAAGAGGAUUUCCAAAGAUCCUAUUUCGUUACAGGUUUUUGGGAAUUGCACAUUUACAUUUCACAACUAAUUAUUGUUGAUUUUUGGUUUCUGCUUCGUCUUUAAUAAGAUGAUAAUGAUCAAAAUAAUUAUCAAGGCGAUUAUACUGUAAAGUAAUCUACCUGAUAAUAAUUGGUUAAUUACAAUUUGAACGAAAAGCUUUAAUUUUAUGGUUUAUGGGUUUUGGAAGAAAUUAUUGUCAUAAUCAUUCUUUUCCAAUGACUAGGAAAUCUCACACUCAAUGCAUACGAGGAGGAUUGUGAAUUUGCCGAUCCAGCUGGUUCAUUUAGAGGACUUACACGUUUCAAGAGAAACUGUACAAAUUUCGGAUUACUUAUUGAGAAGUCGAAUAUGAAUCUUACAAAGUGGGAAGAUUUUGAGGUGAGAUCAUUGUGUUUUAGGCAUUAUGUUCAACAGAGCUGGGGAAGUUUCAUUCAUGGAUUUUGCCAACACUAGUGGUUAGCUCCUCAACAUCUAAGUAUCAGUCAAAACGCUGAAAUAACUUGAAAGUCAUAGAGUGUCUUAUUUUUGCUUUGGUUAAUGAUUUACCUUAGAGAACUCUUGACACCAAAAACUUUGUUUGGUUACAGGACAAGGGAAUUGGGCAUUGGCGUUUUAGCUGUAUCAUGUCAUUUCCUUGGAGGCCUAUUCUCUCUGGUAUGCUCCAGGAUCUCACAUUAAACUCAUCAUAAAAGACAUGUUAUUGCUGUAGAUAACUGGUAUUUCCUUAGAAUUUUCACUAUAUUCUGUCCAUUUGGAAUAAGACUUUCGUAAAAAUUCAAUUCAAUUGAUUUAUUUUCUAAUGAUUCUUUUGUUUGGAAUGAAAGAAUUCCAUUCUUUUUAGCUCAAAAGCCUUUUAUUUGAAAAGGAGAAAAUCUUGUAUGAUUUUGCAAUAAUUCUUUUGAAUUCUUUUAUUGCAAAAUGAAUUAUGCUAAACAAGCGGAUUAAGCUCAAGAAUCUGUGAAUUGAAAGUGUGGUAGCAUCAAAACAAAAGCAAAAUUCUGUAGAAAAAUGUAUCACAAGAGAAAUGGUGUUUACUAUGGAUGGAUUUCUUCUAAAACUUCUACUGUCUAUAGAACCACAUCUUCAAGGCUUUUGUAUACAAUUUGAUAAUAUAGCUCCAGAUGCUUAGCUGAUUAGAUCUGACUCUGUAAAGCUAUAUUGCAGCUACUGGGUAUACAGAGUACUAUUUUGAUGCACAAUCUGGAAGAGUAUGCAGGUAAUGAUAAUGGGAUUAUGAGAAGACUUCAUUCUAUCUUUUCAAUAUUAUUGUUUCAGUCUUAAUUCAUUUAGCUAUGCAAACAUUUCAGGCAUGUAGAACACUGGAAUGUUCCCAAAAUGGCACUUCUAAAGCAGCUUCUAAAACCCAGCCAGGGAUCUUGGUUUGGUAAAAGAAACUCCUCAUGAAGAAUACAUGAACCUUUUCACUAGGAAAAAUAUAUAUGCAUUUAAUGAAAAUCAUAGUAAGGAUUGUGAAGGUUAGUGAGAGUUUUGGAUUCCUUUUGAGUGUUCAGAUGCAUGGUAACUAGUGAUAUUAACAACUUCCAAUCUUGAUGUAUGUAAUUUUUCGCAACACCCGCUAGCUAAAUCUAAAAAAAAAAAAGCAAAAAAAAAAAAAAAAAAACUGUUCAUAUCAUAAUCCACGUUUCAUGAGAUAGCUGAGUUUAAUUGUCUUCGGUUUUUUGUCAUGGCCCAAACAUGAGUAGCUUUUAGACUUUACAUGAUUAAAAUUUUAAAUUUCCCUUGACCAAUAAUUUUCCUCCUAAAUUAGCUUUUUUAUUAUCAAUUUAUUUAUUUUUUAUAUUAUCCUAUUGGUGCCAUGUCAAUCCAUUUACAGGUAAAGUGACUAUAGCUAGUAUUUCCUCUAUUAAUGAGGACUAAACCUUCUACCUCGAUUAAUAGAAAUCAUUAAAUUUAAUGAUAUUAAAUUUAUUUACUUGUGUUUUAAUAAAUAAAUUUUAUGUAUUUUAUGAAAACUGAUAUGUAAAAUAACUUAAAUCUCUUUUAUUUUUGUUAUUUUUUAUUUAAUAAAUUUAUUCGGGAAAUCUGAAUUAGUUGAGAUAAUAAAUUUUGAUAUUAAAUGGUUUAUGAAAAUAAAAAAAUAACGCAUCAAUGCCGCAAAGUGCAAAGGACAUUUAGUUCUUCCUUUUUUGACAAUUUUCUUUUUCUUUCAUUGGGCUAAAAUAAUAUUUUCUGAAUGCUUAGAGGAUAUUCACGUGCUUUUAUUUUGUAUAAAAUUCAAUUAACUUGGUCUUAAAUUAAUUAAGAUAUUAUUAUGGGUUAAUUGGAUAUGCUAAAAAUUAUUUUAAAUUUUUUUUAUUAUAAUUAUUUGAUAAUAGCCAGAUUCCAAACGCCCGGCAUUGGCAAAAUUCAAAGCUGGCAAAAUUCGAAGCUAGAAAAACUGGACUUAAGCUUUGGGAGAGCUCAGUGCACGGCUCUGCUCUAAGUUUCGUAUGGAUGGGCUAGUCGGAAUAGAUUGAUCUGGACUGAAUAUGAAUAUGUUCUUAGGAUACUUGCUUUGAAUGUUCAUUUCUUCUCGUGGUAAAACAGACUUCACAAUAUCCAAAAAACAGACUUCACAAUAUCCAAAAUUAUAUUCAGAUGGCAUAAAAAAAAUUAAAUAAUUGUUUGGUGAGAAAGAAAAUGACAUCAUAUAUCUAUAUAUACUGCUAAAGUAAUUGCGGCAGAAGAGUAUGAAUAUGAAACAAUGAUUAUAAAUUAUUAAAAAAUUAAAAAUUAAAAAUACGUAAAAAAAAUAAAAAUAAAUUUACAAAAAUAUACUCUGAAACUAUUCUUAGAUAGCAGACAUUAUUAUUCAGAUUCAAAAUAAUUAGUCUGGAAUAUCUUUUGAACUCCAUUAUGUUAAAAGAAGGGAAAUCAAAUAUUCUUUUACAUAUAAUUUUACAUACUUAUAAACAAAUAUUGUACAAGAUAAAUUAAUAAAGUGCACAAUUUAAUAUUUUUAUUUAUAUAAUCUUGUAAGAAAAGGGUCAAACAACGUCACUAAUUCUUUUUAAAUGCUAAUUACACUUAUUUUGAUAUAAAUUAUGAAAAAUUACGAGAAAGUUAUUUAAUCAUCUUAAUCUUAUUUCAAAAAUGUCUGUCUGUCACAUUGAUAUAUACGACGCAAAAAUUAUAACAUAUAUUGAUUGCAUAAAAAUUCUGGGGAAUGCAUAUUGAAAUAUGUGUUAAUGAUAAUUCGCAGAAAUUCAAUACACUGUCCGACUGCAUUCAAAUUCAAAGUAGACAAUUGAGAGAUUAGAAGUGAUUAAUUAGUUUGGGUAAGAUUCUCUUGCUCUGCGUUAAUGGAAAAGAGGAGAAAGGUUUGUGUGACAGGAGCCGCAGGCUACCUUUGUUCUCACCUUGUGAAGAAGCUCUUAGAAAGAGGAUACAUCGUCCGUGCCACGACAAGGAAUCUGGGUUUGAUGACCUUUCCUUUUCAAGCUUUUAAUAUGCUUAUCUACUUAAUUUAAUGUUCCUGAUGAAAUUUUUGUACAUCCUCUAAAUUGCAGGUGAUACUUCUAAGGUAGGGCUUCUCAAGGGUCUUCCAAAUAGGGGAGAGUAUAAAUCGGUUUGAACUGAAAAUUAUUGAAUCGAACCGAUUAAUUUUAGUUUAAUGGUUUGGUUAAUUAGAAUAUUCAGUUCGGUUCGAUUAAUAUUUUUUAGUUUAUUCAGUUUUUGAUUCGAUUCGGUUUAAACGUGCUAAAUAACCGACAAAUCGAAUAACCGAUUUUAUAUAUACUUCUAUUAUGUGAAACACUGAUUUUAUAUAUAUUUUUAAAUUUUACAUGAAUUUUUAUGGAUUUUUUAAGUAUUAUCAUUAUGUAUUCUGACAAUAUUUAUUAGUAAAUUUAUUUGAAAUAUUUAUUAAAUUAUUAUACUAAAAUUAAAAGCAGAAAAUUAAAAAAAAAAAUUAUAGAUUUCGAUUUGAAUUGAACUGAAUAAAACCGAACUGAUUUUUAUCGGUUUGAUUUGGUUCGGUUAUAUUUUUAUAAUUGGUUUUUUUAGUUUUUAAUAUUUUUAUAAUUCGAUUUUUGGUUCGGUUCGGUUCAGAACCGAACCAACCGAUUGCACGGCCCUACUUCCAAAUGCAGAGACUAAAAUCAUAUACACUGCCUCUGCGGUGGCUGCAUCUCCUAUGAAAGAAGAUGGAACUGGAUUCAAAGACUCCAUGAAUGAAUCCUGUUGGACUCCCUUCAAUCUCUCAUUCCCUUACAGCAACGAGAUAGUGACGGUAAUCUUCUUAAUUUCUUCCUUAUUCAAUGAGCAUAUGAGCUCUUACAAAACAACCAAUUAUUAGUAAAUUAUGAAAAAUUAUUAAAAAAGAGAGAGAUUCUUUUAUUUUAUACUUUUAUCAUUAAUAUGAUGAGUAUUUAUUUGUAAUAUUUCAUAUUAUGAAACCUAUUCUUACAAGCAUUUACCAGAGGAAAAGUACAUAGAAUGAAAUAAUAAAUAAUGAAUAUUCACAAAAUAAUGUAUAAAUUAAAAAAAGACUUCAGCAAUUUAGGUCAAUAAUAAAAGAGACUAAAAUUUUAAAAGAUAACAAAUCUGUCUUGGUAAAAUUUAUUGUCAAUAAUAAAAGAAAAUAAAAUGAAGCAGCAAAUCCUAAGUCCUAACAACCGAGUGAGAGCGACCGGUGCUCCUAACAACCGAGUGAGAGCGACCGGUGCUCCAGUCUCUCUCUUUGGUCCGAUCAGCAGAGUAUGUUACAUAAGCAGAUUACGUAGAUUUUCUAAUCCAUAAUAAUUUCACCUGAAUUUUUAUAAGAUAUUAAAAAAGUCGAUGAAAUAAACCUUACACCUGCAAAACAAUAAUAUUGAAUAAAUUCUGAAAAAGUUCUUCUACUUUAUAUAAUUGGACCAAUCGUGCAAACUUUCUUGUACGUGUGAAUGGGGAUACCAUUAUGAUUUAUUAGAGAGAGAUAAUUAUUAAUCCCUAGCUGCUCCUAUAUAUAUGUGUGUUGAAAUGGGUAUGGAGAAAUGCAUCGAAAUAUUUGCAUAAGCUUAGGUUUUAGGAGGAGCUAACCCUAAUCCUCUGGCCUCAGCCACAAGCCAUUUGCUUUCCUGCAAACUUCCCCCUUAGGUUUGCACAAGCUUCUGAUCUCACGGUCUGCUAUGAUCCCUUUAACUCCAUAAUCUUAAUUUGUUUAAUUAAUCUGCUUUAUUUCUAGUUUACUGCAAUAUACAAUAUUUGUUUAUAACAAAUAUUUAUGAACGUCAUUCUAUUUUAUUUUAGCAUUUCACUCAUUUAGAAAGGGAAAAACUGUGAUAUUAUUAUCAUUAUUUUUAUUUUCUGAGAGCAUUAUUCUUCUUAUUAUUAUAGAUUAACGUCUCUAUGUAUGGAAUAUUUUAGCUGUGUAGAUAUGGAGAAGUCGGCAACAUUUGAUUCAUGUAUUUACCUUUUAUUUAGCAUUGUUUAUUUAUAAAAAAAAAAAAAUUAAAUGAUUUUUUUUAAAUCAUGUAAAAAUAAUGAUAAUCAUUUCUAUCCAUAUAGUUAAAUUCGAGUUAAUUAAAUUACUAUUAAAUAUUUAAUUUGAAUAUUGUUUAGAGGGAUGAUAUAGAUAUUUAAUUAUAUGAAUUUUUUCAUUUUUUGGAUUAUUAUGUCAACAAUUCUGCAAACUAGGUAUUCUCAGAGAUGGAAAGCACAAGAGAUGCUUCAAAUGAAAUUGAGGAUAAAAGCAAAGAGCUGAUAAUAAUCCACAACAUUCCACAAGUUUUGGACACGUUAAUAUCAGAGCCUGCAUUAUGGCCUGAGCUUUGUAUCUACAGGGUUCCAAGAAAACUUCGAGCAAUAAAUCCAGCACCAUACACACCUCAGUUGAUUUCAAUAGGGCCUUUUCACUGCGAGGACAAAGCUUUAAUGCCUAUGGAGAAGCAGAAGCUGCGAUACUUGGCAGAGUUCUCCAAAAGGACUGGGAUUCCUUGGACUGAGCUUGCCAAAAAAAUUAAAGAGUGGGAGAUAACAAUCCGCCAUUGUUAUGAAGAAACAUUUGAUAAGGUAUCUAGUGUCGAGUUCAUAAAGAUGAUUCUCCUGGAUUCUGUGUUCAUCAUCGAGCUCUUCUUGAGGAGAGGAGAAAAAUAUGGAUUAAUUAGAAAACAAAGGCAUGGAAAUUUUAAAGAUGAUUUUAUACUUGGAAAAUCAACAAGGGAAUAUUGUUUACUUGGGGAUUUGAUAUUGGUUGAAAAUCAGCUGCCUUACUUUGUUCUUGAUGAUUUAUAUGAAUUCUCCAUCGGCAAUGAUAAUGAAGAAGGCUAUCCUUCUUUCUUUAACCUCAUGAAAUUUAACUUACACGACUACUUAUCUCCUCCAGAAAUUCAAGAAAAUGAAAAUUCUCCCUGCGAUUGCUUCUCUUGCUUGUAUUGUUUCUGGAUUAGUAGAUGCUUCUCCUGUCAAAAGCACGACUGUCAAAGCCCAGAUGAUGAAGAAGAAGACGACCGCCUUCUGGAGAAACCCCUACAUUUCACUGAUUUGGUUCGGAAACAUCGAUCAUUCAAGCAUCCAAAGUCGAAGAAUGACGGGUCCGUGAUGAAGCUAUACAACGCCACAAUGCUACACGAGGCAGGAGUGAAGUUUAAGGCGAGUCCAGAGGCAUGGCCACUCGAUAUAAAAUUUGAGAGGGGAGAGUUGAAGAUUCCAAGAUUCUUAGCGGACGAUAACACGGAGCGUGUUAUUCGAAACCUGAUGGCUUUCGAGCAAUGUCAUUAUCCAGACCAGCCAUUGAUAUGCGAUUACAUUUGGGUACUUGAUUUUCUCAUCAACACGGCGAAAGACGUGGACUUGUUAGUUCGCAAGGGGAUCAUUGUGAACUUGCUUGGAGACAGCGAAGCAGUAGCCAAAUUGGUGAAUAAUCUGGGACUAGAAAUUACAGCAUCUGGGUCUUGUUUUUACGAUCUGAGUGAGCAGCUGAAUAAGCACUACGAGAAUCCAUGGUGCCGUACGGUGGCGAUCAUGAGAAGCGCGUAUUUCAGCAACCUGUGGAGAGGAACUGGAACAAUUGCUGCUAUUGUACUCCUGUUCUUCACCUUCACACAGUCUCUGUAUUCCAUCUCCCAGAUAUUCUAGGCUUGGCUUGAGAGCUUGUGUACUUUUCUGUUUAUACAGUGUCGUUUCUGUAUUCCAUCUCCCAGAUAUUCUAGCCAAAUUGAUGAAUUAGGAAGCAUUGAUCGUGCCAUGGUUGUGGAAACCAUCAAAGAGGAUUUCCAAAGAUCGUAUUUCGUUACAGGUUUUUGGGAAUUGCACAUUUACAUUUCACAACUAAUUAUUGUUGAUUUUUGGUUUCUGCUUCGUCUUUAAUCAGAUGAUAAUGAUCAAAAUAAUUAUCAAGGCGAUUAUACUGUAUAGUAAUCUACCUGAUAAUAAUUGGUUAAUUACAGUUUGAACGAAAAGCUUUAGUUUUGUGCUUUAUGGGUUUUGGAAGAAAUUAUUGUCAUAAUCAUUCUUUUCCAAUGACUAGGAAAUCUCACACUCAAUGCAUACGAGGAGGAUUGUGAAUUUGCCGAUCCAGC
rnacentral:lncRNA from 1 species